rnacentral:lncRNA from 1 species
AGCAUCAAUCCUAUCAGUUAUCUAGAUCUUCCUGAAGCCGACUCUUCUGAUGUUAAAGGUGGACUCCCAAAUUACUACCAUCCUAGUGAUCAUCUGCCAAUUGGUGCUGACUUCGUGAUUCGUACAAAAUAAAUUAGCAUCAGUACCUGGCAAGAGCACUGUUGAAAACGUUCAGUUACUUCAAUUUCCCAAUUCUUUUCAAUUUUUUUUAUCCUGGUAGAUUGUUUAGUUGGACAAUUUUGCGAGCCCAGAGCAGUUUUGCACACAACCCCAAACCCCACCAUUUUCCUUUAUGUAUGAUUUGAUUUCAACAUAUGUACUCCUUUUUUUUAUUGAAUAUGUACAAAUUAGUUGUUUAUAUUUUACAUAUAAACAUCACUCAGUUAACCUAUACUGAAAUUGAUAUGUGUAGAAAUAUGUUUUUUUUUUUUGGUGUUACAGGAACUGUCAAAGUNUUUGAAGAUAUGUAUGCGUCAGAGAGGUUUAACACUUGCUCAGUCCUUCGCCAGCUACCAAAAUUUCUCUUUUCUGAUCAGCAACAAGCUGAGAGAAUUCUUCCAAUAAUUAAUAACAUUUCCUCCAAAAACGGUGUUCGUCAUACGAAGACUGUCUGAAAAUCUCGGCGUAACAUCCUUUAAUGACAAUACGACACACAGAAAAUUCUUUAGGUCUUCAAAAUUGGACAUCCUCAGAUUAAUAUCGAAUCCACUACCGGGAAACUUGAUUAUAUGUAUCCUGAGUUUUUGAAAUUGGUACUGAUGUAUUAAAAUUGGCCAGCAAGGUCUGGAGUCUGGCAAAAUGUAAAGACAAAGGCAGAGAGGAGUUUCAGUAAUUCUAUGUUUACCCUUUCGAAGUAAAGUUGAUUCUCAUUUUGGAUGAAAAUUUGUCCUUGGGUACAAAGUGACCCAAUUUUGAGUGCUUUAGGACUAAAUUGACAGGCUUUGAAGUUCGUGUAUUGAAGUGUAUAUGGCUGUAUGUAGGGAGAUGAGAAGUGCAAUGUGUGAUUAGGCCUUCUUCUAAUUGAUUUAAAAUGCAAGAGGCCGUGCUUCUAAUUAUGAUUUGAUGGAAAUUGCAGUCACAAGCUCAUUUUCGUUGCAGGUAUAUGAAUACCUGAUUUCUGGUAACCCUUCCAUGGAACCUCAACUGGAACAGAGGGAGGAUCUUCCAAUUCCAUUAGAUAGCGUAUACGCAUAUCUGAGGGGAGAACCGCAAUUCACAAACUGCACACCUGGGUUUACUGGUACUCUUGAUUAUAUACUUUUUUCUCCCAGUGGAAGCAUCAAUCCUAUCAGUUAUCUAGAUCUUCCUGAAGCCGACUCUUCUGAUGUUAAAGGUGGACUCCCAAAUUACUACCAUCCUAGUGAUCAUCUGCCAAUUGGUGCUGACUUCGUGAUUCGUACAAAAUAAAUUAGCAUCAGUACCUGGCAAGAGCACUGUUGAAAACGUUCAGUUACUUCAAUUUCCCAAUUCUUUUCAAUUUUUUUUAUCCUGGUAGAUUGUUUAGUUGGACAAUUUUGCGAGCCCAGAGCAGUUUUGCACACAACCCCAAACCCCACCAUUUUCCU